GAGUGUUUAUUCAUAAAGCAGAGCAAGAGAAAUAGUUUGAUCGAUGCUAAUAGGUAACAGAUAAAUGACAAUCUUACAAGGUGGAUGACUCGUCAUAGACACAUCCAGAUUUUCAAAUCAAGGUUUAACAGUCUCCAAAAGGUGGAUGAUCUCCAAAAGAGAGGCAGAGUUCCUCGGAUCAUCAGAACACAGGCAUACCAAGUCUUAGAGAGAAACUAAAUACGAUACAUGGAUCAUAUGUAUAGACGAGCUGAGGUCAACAAUACUGAUGCACAGUGAGACUACAUCAGUGGUUCACUGAGCUGCUCCUAUUGGCAUUUAAUCAACCAACUGGUCUACCAUCAAGAUAGACCUCACCACCAUGAAGUACAAGCCCGCUCAAGAGGAGGUUCCUGACGCAGAGCCGCGACCUCAAGCACCUCACCACCAAGCCAAAACCCAGCCAUCAGCACAAUCAUGUUUGACGUUGGGCUGCCUGUAACAAUGCGAAGAACGUUAUGAUUCUCCAACGCAAGAGUUUCCAAGAAUAGGAAAAUAAAUUUUAUACCGUCUCAGAUUCAGAUGACCUCCCUAAAUCAGAAGAACAGAUUAAUUAGAUGUACCUAACACACACAUGUACAUGAAGAUAGGAUUGAUAGAUUUUAUGUCAGUACCUAAUCUCUAACCAUCUUCGAGACCUCUCUUGGAACACUGUCCCCCAUGGUGCGCAACCACCACCAUUCAGCAAUUCAUCAAAUGCCAGAUGCCUUUUAAAUGCCACUCUUUCGCAAUCCCUGCAAACAACAUUGCAGAGACCACAAAAAUCUUUGGAAAACUCUGAUACAAUAUGUAUUUGUUGUUUAGUUACUUUGCUAAUUUAGAGCCUAAUGACAGUAGUUUUUUCUUUAGAAAAUAAUAACAACGACGAGAGCGGUAAGGUCAUACAUGUGCGCACGAAGACUUGUCUUCGUAGCCUGAUUUGGUAAUGCGAGUAUGACACUUGCAUGAGUUCCAAGCAUUGGUGCAUGGUAUUGGAGUUAGAUGGCUGAUCUAGAAUCAUUUACAUGAUUUGAGAAAUCUUCCUAAUAAUUUGUUAUGUGCAGAAUUCAAUGAAGUUUUUUAGACAGGUUGAUGACUCUUGCAAACUUAAUUAUCUUAAGUUUCAAACAAUUAAUUCUUUGAAUCUCCUGAACAUACAAAAAGAAAUAGCCAUUGGCAGUCAAAGGAGCAUAGACAAGUGUAAUCAGAGGGAUUAAAUUGUUACAUGAUCAUAGAGUGUUCUUUAUUCUUCAUCCUUCAAAGUCUACAGAGAAGAGGCGAAAUUGUAUGUAUCAGUACUAUUCAUAGCUAUACAUCCACAAAUUGGUAACACACGAAGAGUACAAUUCACCGAGCUAAAUUUAGGCAUUGCAAAAGCUAUCGGUAUCACUCAAACACCAGAAUAUUAGGUAGAAAGUAAAGUUGGUAUUUGAUUCAUGCCAUCAAAAUAGUAAAACUACUGCAAAAUGCAAAAGAGAAAUGGUCUGAUUUUUGCAUGCCUACUGAUUGCAGAAUAAGACAAAGCCAUAACCUCUGGAGUGUCCAAUUUUAUUAUCCCACAUGACUCAAGCAUCCCUGAUCAUAAAUGGGACACAUGAACAACUGAAAAGCUACAUUCACACACAAAUUUCACCAUCUAGGUUAUAUUUCACUCUCUCCUAACCAAUCACAGCUCAGCCGCUCAGGACACUGUUCCUAUCCUAUGUGGACAUCGCAAGAGGAGGCGGCUUGAGCACCUCAGCAUGUCCUAUGCAGUCAUUUUCACACGUUCACACACAUUUGUCUUCUACUAUGACGUUAUGGCUUCCUAGUACAAGAUGGAAGUUUGGCUUAAUAAACAAAAAACAAGUUUUACUGGCUUGCAUAGAAAAAAUUUAAACAAUAUAAUAAAAUGAAUAUGUGAAAUGAAACAACAUUUUCCAUAUCAUUCAGAUCGAAGAAAGACUUGGUCUAGAAUUAUGAGGAACAUUCACUUAGAGAAAAGUCUACUACAGCCAAGAAAGGGAGAAAGAUAAAUUAGAAACUUUCAGCUGAUUGUUUAUUUUCCAUCAAGGAAUCCAAUUUAGCCCCUCAAAGACAAUUAGCCAGAAACUCAUGUGUGUGUGUGUGUGUAUAGGAAAAAUCCAUCCUACCACCCAGUGGUAGUUACCAUUAAAUCAACUCAAUACUACAAAAAUUAGUGAUAGAAACUCCUCUACAUAUCUUGUGCAUACUUGUAUGCAAUUAGCAUCUGUAAGCAUGCAUUGAGAAAGUUUUUCGUAGCAAAAUUUGAGCCGAAUAUGAAAUGAUUAGGAUCAAUGCCAACAAACUGAGCUUAAUAUUGCUCAGUUUUCUACCACUUCAUGAGGCUUGGCAUCCCACUUGAAGGGAAACUAAAAGGUACAUAAGACAUAUAGUUUUCUGCCACUUCACGAGGCUUUUCAUUAUCUGUUUCGUGCAUUCAGGUCCCCCCUUCCAUGUCUAUGUCAUGGUGUUUUUUAUCACAUCCAUUGAUCAAAGUACAAUAUCCCUGUGACAAAUGUUUUGCACAUUUCAAGCUGAAGAAAAGUUGGAUGGAAGAAAAUAGAAGAUGGAUUUUCAUUCUGUUUGAAAAGAUAGAAUAAAUAUAAUUUACAAAUUCACAGUUCUAUAUCCAAUGAGAAAGAAGCCUCGGUUUUAAGGAGACAUCAACACUAUCUAGCAAAAUAAUCAACUAAUUUGUCUCUUGUUAGGAGGAUGAUCUCAAAAUACAUCUCACAACAGUUUGAACUAUCACAGCUGAUCGUCCACUCUAAAAAACACAUAAAUAUAAGUUAGUACAUAUAAAUUAAUCAGCACAAAGGAUAAUACUCCCUCUGUAACUAAUAUAAGACGUUUUGGAUCACUGAAUCUAAAACGUAUUAUAUUAGUUACUGUAUUUUAGACCAAAUAAGAAUAUAUAUUAUUAUUUGUAGCUUAGACAUGUCAUAAUGUGGCUUCUUUUAUAGUCCUUAUGACAAAGUCAAACUAUUUUAAGGAAUGAUUAAUCAAUAUGUUUCUUGACUAAUUCGAGCAAGGCUAGAUUUAUUCUAUUUCUCACAAAAUGUUUUGAGCUUUUUGGUUGUUGGUAUAUACCCAACUAAUUUACAGUGAGCACUAUUCUCCUCUGCUACAAAAAAGAAUAAUAUUCUGCUCAAGAAUAAGUAAUGUAUGUGUGUAACCUCGACAUCGUAACCUAGUGAAUGAAUCAAUCAGUGUGAUGAUGUAUAUGAACCUAAAAAUGACAAGAACGGAAGCUCAGGACAUACAUUUAUAUAGGUAACAACAAAAAAGUGUGAUCUGGUUAGGAUCAAGAACCUGUCUAGAAUAGUGAUUUGCAUCUCUUCUUAUUCAAGCCAUUUGAAAUCUAUCUUCUGGAACUCCUCCUACAUCAUACAAAUAAAGAUGUUGAACCAAUAAUAUGGUGCAAGACAAAACAUUCUGAUUACUAUAAUGAUAAUGAAAACAAAUCCGUUGAAUUUUCAUAUUUUCUGUAAUAUUAUACCCGAUCAUCAUAUCAGCAUUUUUAUUACAUAAAGAUGUAUUUGUCUGUGAAGAUCUAAUUCAACCCUGCAAAAUUAUAACAUGAGUUAGCUCCAAAGCAUUGAAAUUUUGAAAACAAUUUCCAGGCAUAUUACCUCAUUGUUGAUAAAGAUCGUCCUCGCUGAAACACCACAGUUUGAUGAUAACUUCAUAGUCCUUGCUUCCUUUGAGGUUCCAUUCUUAAUGGUACUGUUAAACAAGAGCACAAAUGCAGCUAUCAGUAUACAAAGAUUGGGAUUAUGCAAAAUAAAAGAAAUACAAGAAAUUAGUUACACACAGACAUUCAGGUAUUCAAACAUAACAUAUGCAUCUGAACAUAGUUUACCCAACCCUAAAAACUGAAGCAUAAAACCUAUAGUUAAUGAGAUAAAAUGGAAAUGGAAACAAAAUUCUUCAAAAGGAAAAUCAUCUUAACUUCUAAUAAAUCAUCGUUAUCCAGGAAAUAAAUAUAUACAAUGUAUAUAUACCUACUUAAUAAAUAUUUGAGCAAUUGCAAUACACUCGAUUUGCUGUGCUUUGAAAUGGACUGGUAUGCUCAGGAAAAACUUGGUAGUUGACAGUUAGUAAAAUAGCCGAGACUGGAGAUAGAUGCGGCAGAGUAAGACUUAUAUAGGUGGGAAUAACAAACAAACAAAGCUAUCAUGUAGUCAUGCACAACUCGGUCCAUUCCAAGUUGACUUAUGGUGCGUAGAAAUUACACAUAUUGUUCAAACAGAUACAAAAUAAUGCAAGGCAGAACAUGAGGUGAUGAUUGCAGAACUUAACUGAGUUUACUCCGGGAAUGAGGAGGGCAAUACAUAGAUCUAUUCUGAAUAAGUGAAUCCAACAUGUCAUACAUUACACUACAUUAUUUAAUAACUCACACUACCAGAUGGUAGUUUCCAACAAAUUAAAAUUGGUGCGGCAUACCAGGAGGCCUUGUAGAGAAAGCAUAUAUAUUGUUCAAAGCAAAGCAUGGGGUAACAUAUUACUACUCAGCAGUCAUCAAACUCAGGCACAUGAUUAAGGAAAUCAAUAAAUAGUGGGGUGGCUCAUACCUUGAUGAAGCCAAUGUCCUUGGCAUAGUUGUGGAAGCAAUGCCUGCAGCACACCCGUACUUCCGGAUCAGACCAUGCGAGUUGCUGUAGACACGGGAUACCCAUUCAUCAGAUCCCAUCCAUGGAAAUUUGAUAGUAUAUGAGAAGAACAAUAAUCAGAAACAAAGAGGGGCAGCGGAUCCAGAGGAGCGCAUCAAGUACUGCAUCUCCAUACAACGUUAAAUAUAUUAUUUUCCCAUCUUUGCUAUGCGCUUGAAGCUAAUCAUUCCCUGCUCUUAUCAAUCAUGUGGAUCAUUCUCACUCAAAAUUCCCACCAAUGGAAAUUGAGGAAAUAUUGUAAGCAACACUACAGAGCGAGCUGGAUGUCGUUAAAGAAAUAGUGUUAGCACUUCUAUUAAACAAAUACUAAUGUUAUCGUCUGUAUGAAAACCAAAAAGGAACAUCAUCAUACCUUAACAUCCGGUGACUAAUGAUCUAGUGUCGUCAAAGCAAAUGGAAUUACUAACCACCACAACUCGCCAAGCUUCGGGUAGUUAGCCUGAAACAAUCGAAGAAGCAACUGGAGUGAAAACCUUUAAUGCUGAAAUGGCUCCACAUUAC
rnacentral:lncRNA from 1 species